UUAUUUGAGAGUUUGAUCCUGGCUCAGGACGAACGCUGGCGGCGUGCCUAAUACAUGCAAGUUGAGCGCUGAAGGUUGGUACUUGUACCGACUGGAUGAGCAGCGAACGGGUGAGUAACGCGUGGGGAAUCUGCCUUUGAGCGGGGGACAACAUUUGGAAACGAAUGCUAAUACCGCAUAAAAACUUUAAACACAAGUUUUAAGUUUGAAAGAUGCAAUUGCAUCACUCAAAGAUGAUCCCGCGUUGUAUUAGCUAGUUGGUGAGGUAAAGGCUCACCAAGGCGAUGAUACAUAGCCGACCUGAGAGGGUGAUCGGCCACAUUGGGACUGAGACACGGCCCAAACUCCUACGGGAGGCAGCAGUAGGGAAUCUUCGGCAAUGGACGAAAGUCUGACCG
rnacentral:rRNA from 1 species